GACGAACGCUGGCGGCGUGCUUAACACAUGCAAGUCGAACGGAAAGGCCCUGCUUUUGUGGGGUGCUCGAGUGGCGAACGGGUGAGUAACACGUGAGUAACCUGCCCUUGACUUUGGGAUAACUUCAGGAAACUGGGGCUAAUACCGGAUAGGAGCUCCUGCUGCAUGGUGGGGGUUGGAAAGUUUCGGCGGUUGGGGAUGGACUCGCGGCUUAUCAGCUUGUUGGUGGGGUAGUGGCUUACCAAGGCUUUGACGGGUAGCCGGCCUGAGAGGGUGACCGGCCACAUUGGGACUGAGAUACGGCCCAGACGCGUACGGGAGGCAGCAGGGGGGAAUAUUGCACAAUGGGCGGAAGCCUGAUGCAGCAACGCCGCGUGCGGGAUGACGGCCUUCGGGUUGUAAACCGCUUUCGCCUGUGACGAAGCGUGAGUGACGGUAAUGGGUAAAGAAGCACCGGCUAACUACGUG
rnacentral:rRNA from 1 species